CCGGCACGGGUGAGUAACACGUAUGCAAUCCACCUGUAACAGGGGGAUAACCCGGAGAAAUCCGGACUAAUACCCCAUAAUAUGGGCGCUCCGCAUGGAGAGCCCAUUAAAGAGAGCAAUUUUGGUUACAGACAAGCAUGCGCUCCAUUAGCCAGUUGGCGGGGUAACGGCCCACCAAAGCGACGAUGGAUAGGGGUUCUGAGAGGAAGGUCCCCCACAUUGGAACUGAGACACGGUCCAA
rnacentral:rRNA from 1 species